rnacentral:lncRNA from 1 species
AGAUUAAUUUGAUAAAUUAAUAAUAGUUUAGAGAUUAUUUAUUAUAUUUUAUUUUUUUAUAGUUCAAUAACUAAAUAUGAAAGAGUAAUAUUUUGUCAAAAUAAAUAAAUAAGAGAGUAAUAUUUUAAUGAUGAAUUUGAAUGUUUUACUCAAUUGUUUUCAACUUCAUCUUAACUUGCUUUAUCUUAUGGAGAAGUAGUAUGAUGUUAUAUUUUUAAUAAUUAAGAUAGAUGAUUACAUGACAUUAUCUGUAUCCAAGUAAUGACUUGAUCCUAUAAGGCUGGAAUGUUGUCGUCUCCAAUUUUUCUAGCCUUAAAAUAUUAUGCCAAACCACCUAUUUUUAGUGGUAUGUUGUCUAUCAUUUGAGGCCACUAGAUUGAGUGCAAAUAUAAAAUAUGGAACUUUUUUUUUAUUAUCUAAAGCCACUAGUGUUUUUUAAAAUAAAAAGAGUUCGAUAUAUGUGUCUCUAUUUUUUCAUAUUGAAAUAUUAUCUAUCAAAUAUAAUUAUAACUUUUUUCUUUUUGCAUAUUACAGGGUUUAAUCAUAGAUAGAAUCCAAAAUACAUUUUCUGAAGGGGAGAACAAGAGGUUUAUCUACCUUGGUGAUGGCAUUGGAGAUUAUUGUCCUAGUUUAAGGCUUAGAGAGAAAGAUUUCAUGAUGCCAAGGAAGAAUUUUCCAGUGUGGGAUUUGAUAUGCAAAGACCCUUCACUUGUUAAGGCUGAAAUUCAUGGUUGGUGUGAUGGAGAAGAGCUUGAACAAAUUUUGAUUCAAUUGAUCAACAAAAUUAUCAUUGAGGAAAAUGCUCAAUUCAUUUCAAGUGAUUGCAAGCUACAAACUCUAUCAAUUCCUGUGCAUGAAACCUUGCCUAAAGCUCUUUCAGUUAGGCCAUAAAUUUUUAGUUUACAAUCAUUGCAAAUGUAUCAUAAAGUACUAAUUUUUCUUGUGUUUUGUUUGAUAUAAAUCAACCUUUUAUAAUGUUGCUAAUCAUGUAAUUGGUUUCAUAUGGAUUUGUAUUAUAACAUGCUAAAUAUCAAUUUGCCCUUGAUGGUGCUGGUUAAUUAUUCUAGUAGAUUAUUAUUGUGUCAAAAUAAUUAAAAUAUUUCUAACAGUAUAUUACUGUAUCAAAUUGCUAUUAUCAUAUAUUUGAUAAUACAACAACAAAUACUUGUGGUGCUUUGAACCCUCAUCAAAGGAUGCGUCCAUAUUUUUUUUGGUUACAUCAUAAAAAAUAUUAUGAAUAAAGAUAACCUACUUCUUAACCUUUAUCCAUAUUGCAAGACUUAUAGUAUUUCCUUUAUGUAUUCGGGUAUUUCAAUUGGCGGGGAUUGUCAUUGUUUAGGCUUCUGGAACCCUCUCCUUGAUCGCAUUAAUUUGAGGUUGUCUAGUUGGAAAAGCAAGUAUAUUUCAUUUGGUGAUCGUCCGAUCCUUUUGAAGUUUGUCAUGUAUUCUCUUUCGAUUUACUUUCUUUCCUUCUUCAAAGCCCCCACAGGUAUAAUCUCUUAUAUCAAAACUUAAAAUAUUUUUUUGGGGGGAUGUGAGAAUUUUAGCAAAAUAUCUUGGGUGAAUUAAGAUUCUGUAUGUCGGAGUAAGGAGGAUGAAUGGUUAGGUGUUAGAAGGUUGAGGGAGUUUAACUUGUCAUUAUUAGAUAAAUGGUAUUGGAGGAUGUUAGUUUAUAAAGACGGGUUGUGUAUAAUGUGUUGAAGGCUCAUUAUGAGAAACAAGGGGGCGGCUUAAGGAGAGCGCUAGGCUAGGUUCAGCUUGGUGGAAUGUAACUAAUAACUACUGUAAUAAAAAAUUUGACCCCAAAGUUAAAUUCACUUUGUGAUAAAUACCGCUAACUCAAUAAUUAAGUUAAUUGAUCCUAUCAUGUCUUUCAUUUCCUUCUUAAAAAAUCACGUCUUUCAUUUCUUCCCCUCUCUUGUUUCUUCUUCUACUUCAUUUCGUUCUUCAUGAUUUUGUCAAGAUCUACAUGAGAUAUUAAAACAUUAUGACUCAUACCACUAAACUCAUCUCUCUCUUAUUCUUAAAACCAAUCUUUAUUUUCUGUCUUUACUUUUAUGCAAACAAACCAAUCUACUGUUUAGUAGCAAAACAAAAUAACUUUAUACAUCAUAUUUUACAACGUAAUUGAAUUAUUGAAAUUAAAAUCAAUCCUUGUGGGAACGAUAUUUUUACUACUUCGAUAGAAUUUGAUACGCUUACCAAACGUCUAUCAUAAUUCAUGUUUUAUUUUUUAUAUUUACUACAACAACGUUUAUUGACUUUAUAUCCUUUUUUAUUAACAUAAACUUUACAUCCUAUGUGAUAACUUACAUUAAAUUUAUAAAGCUAUAGGUUAUAACUUACGUUAAACUCAUAAGUAAGUGAAAUGCAAACAAAUGUGUACAUCAAAACAUAUAUAUAUAUAUUUUAUGAUAUAUUGUAUUUUAGUUUUGUAACUUAAUUCGAUGGAGCGGGUGCUACAGUAAAAUCUAACUUUGGAAGACUAAUUUGUGGGACCCAAAUAUGAAAGACUUGUGUGCGGUGCUCAGUUCCAAAGAGGGUAUGUGGAGAUUAGUUGGACGAGCCAUUUUUGGGUAUUAGCAACAACAUAUGUACUACGUAUGAGAUCAACUGAAAUCAAGAAAACCGUAAGUCUCGCCUAUAAUAAAGAAAAUGCCUUAAAUGAAUUUAUAAAAAGUGAUAUCCCUUAUUUUACAAACCGGUUUUUUUUAUAGGAAUGAGUUAAAUCUGACAUAAAGCAUAAUAUUGUUUCAAAGUUUAUCUAUUCAGGUCAUUUAUAUUCAUACACAAGUCCAAUAGUGUUAGGCAUGAUAUUGGAAAAAGCUCAAAUCCCAUAGGAAAUAAACCCUAAAAGAACUUAUAAAAAGUGGUACCCUUCACCUUACAAGUUAAAUUUGUAAAGAUGAGUAAGACUCGAUAUAAGAACCUAAUAAAAAUAAAAAACGGUAGUCCAGUGCACUAACGCUCUUGGAUACCCAUGGUCUGGGAAGAGGUCCCACUAAAAACACCAAAAUAUAUUUUUCAAGUCAGAUAGAGCCGUAUACUAUUUUCAACAAAUCACUUGUAGAACCAAGUGACUCGUACUCAGAAGUAAAUCUUAUACCGUCCAUUGUUGUGAAAAUGAGCUACUUCCUUCGUAGUUGCAAAUUAAUGCUGCUGGGGAACCCUUAUCGUUGAAUGAACAUCUUUCUGAAUUCUUCAUUGGAUUUUGGCUGUUCAUCACCCACUUCUGCUUUUGGUUUAUUUUCAGUGCAACCAAGUGCUCUGACAUUUCUAGGCACAGCAAAAGUAUUCUUCCCUUUAAACUGAAUGUUGUCACUUCCUGGCUUUCUAGAAGAGAACUUCCCAUCUUUUACAUCCUUCUUGGAGGUAUCAUCAGUUUCUUUUGAUACUGAACCUUUUUUAUCAGAAUGAUCAAUGUCAUGUUCUGUAAUCAACAUAAACAAAAGUAGCAGUUAAUUCUUAAACUAACCAGAAGAGGAGAGGACAAAUUCACUUAGUCCAAAUUCACUUAGUUCAUUUACUCUGAUGCGGGACUUCCUCAAUCAGCAAAAAAAUUAGAGGUGGAGGAUACUAAAAGAACAAUAAUGCAUGUGACUUACAAAAAUCUCAAAGCUUCUUAUUGUUAGAUUUUCAUCUGUUUGGUUUUUCUUUAACGGAUAAGGUUUUUCUUUAACGGAUAAUUAUAUAUACUUCUAUUGUCUAGUUUCACCGUGAUCUUAGCUGAGUGUAUGGAUUUUGGAGGUAGCCCACUUGCCACCACUAAAUGGUUAGGGUUUGUUGUAAUUCCCAACCUGUGAUUUAUGCAAUUUUAAAUUUUAUAAGUGGUGUUUGUCAUUUCCCAAUUUAACUUUAGGGUCUGUUUGAGAGAUUGGAGGGGAGGGGAGGGGAGGGGAGGGAGGGACUUUGGGCAGAGGGGAUUAGAGGGAAAGAUAUGGAAAUCUUCCAUCCCUUUGAAGAGAAUGAGUUUGCAGAGAAUGAUAAAUGAAUGCUUAUAAUUAAUACAUUUUUAUAAAUAAACAUGUGAGCUCAAUCUCUCAAGUCUUUCAGAAACAAUUUCAGAUAUUCCCUAAACUCAAGUGAUCACAAGUUAUCUGACAAAUGGAGUUACGUAACAGCUUUCUACAUAUCUAUAUAAGGUAUUAUGCGUACAUGAAAGAUCACUAGCAAGGAGUAUCAAAUGUAUAUUCAUGUAAGUGCUUGUAUAAAAUAAAAAUAUAUUCAAAGUUCACUUACCAUGUUCUGACUUUUUUGGAUUAGAAGUUUCCUUUCCACCUCGCUUAGGGUUCGAUCGAGCAAUACUUAGCUUUUUCCCAAGUAAGGUGUUCUUGUUCUUAGCUACCGCUGCAACAAGGUGCUCGUCAUCCAAAAAGUCCACAUAAGCUAGUCCCUAAAUAAAUAUCAAGUUAGCAAUUAUAUACCAUUCACUUCUCGAAAUGUAAGGUGGCCCUUACGAUUAAAAUAAAAAAUAAAAAAUUAAAGGAGCACAGAAAAGUAUAUUUUAGUUCUCUCAUACUACUUAAAUAUAUUCCAAGAUUUAGCCAAGCAAGUGAUCAACGUCAUAUAGUAUUUGUCCGAAAUUCAUGUAUCUAUAUAAGAAAGUCCCGCAUCAGAGUAAAUGAACUAAGUGAGGACAAUAACCACAAAUUUGGAAACUCUUGUGAACCAAGCCUUAAGGUUUUCGAUUAAGGUGCGUAAAGUGUAGUUCCUCGCCUAGCUCAUGGAUGAAGGCCUCCUUUUACAGCUGUGUUCCCCAACUUAAUAGAAUUAAUUCUCAACAACAUGAAUGUAAAAAGGUAAGGAAAAAAACCCUAAAAUAGCAUGGUUUCAAAUUGAAGGCACCAAACCUUCCCGAAGCCCGCCUCAUGCACCCGACUAAAUAAACUCAGGAAGGGGGGCUUUCUCCAAAAUGAAGUCCACUUUAAAAUUUUAGUCAACAAGCCAAUUUACUUUCAAAACCAAUUAAGGCAUAAAAAAGAAGUAAAAUAAAUAAGAUAAAGAACUAUUAAUUUAGUACCCUGGACUUUCCAGUGAACUUGUCAUGUAGGAUGCGGAUGGCUACAAUUCCACCGAUAUCACUGAAGAAAUCACGAAUAUGCCCAUCAUUUGCCUGCAAUAACACAAAUCAUUAGUCUCUCUCUGUCCCAAACAUGCAAACACAGAAGAAAGACAGGCUAAGAGUUCUCUAUUUACCGUAGGGUUAAGAUUUGAUAAAAAAGCAGUGCACUGGUCAGAGUAUGCCCGGUGUUUUCCACGGGUAAGCUGUUGCUUUUGGCUGUCAUCCGAUUUGUUAUUUUUCUGAUUGGACCCUUCCACUUUUGUCACCUGAGUAGAGUUCUGCACUUGAUCUAUAUUAUCCUUGGGUGCUUUUUGUAUUUUUUUACCAGCAUCUUUCUUUCGCUUUGCUGGCGACUGUUCAUCGGCUAUAUCUGCCCCCGGCUUUCUUUUCUCACCUACAUUUUUUCUUGGAUUAUUUUCACUUUCCUCUACUGACUUGGAUUCCUGCUGCAACCUAAAUAAACGUAGCUCUUCCAGACGUGGGGUAACCUGUGGAAAGACAGCACAAAAACAAAUCAGCAUACCAAACCUAUUGUUUGUUAAAUGUCUUUUUCUCAUCAAAUUGACAUUCAAGUUCAUGGAGUAGGGUUUAUCAUUAACUUCCUCAAUAAAUAACAAAGGAUAACCAAAGUAACCACUAUUAAAAUACGAUAGAGAUUUCUGAAUGCUUGAGUAACACUCAACAAGAGCAUCUAUUUAUAUACAUGACAAUUACAAUUUACAAGAAGAAAACUUAUAACUAGCAUUAACUUCUAAGGUACAAAGAAUCUAAGAAUGCAAUGAACCCUGUAAUAUUAUAAUUUUAAUUGUAAUUGAUAAGAGGAACAAUAAUUAUAUGAUACUUCCAACAACUAAUUACACUAAAGUUCUCUCAAUUUUUCCUCUGCAUAUUUUCUAUCAUUUUCUCACCUUCUCUUCUCACCACUUCUCACAUUUUCCUAUUGAUUCCAAACUUACAUUUUAUAAAAGACAUAAAUUGAAGAGGAAUGUAUGUACCUUUUGCAAAGCAAGAUCAAAAUCUUCCAGCUUGCCAAACUCCCUCUCAAAGCGUAACCAUGAGUUGCAAAUGUCCUGAAUGAUUCUGUGUUUUAGGAAGGGAAGGUAUCAUCUAAUCCAAACAGUAUUAAAAAGCAAGUAAAAUCUAACCCGUAAAUUUGUGUACAUACAAAAAAUCGCAAUCCUUAUAUAAUUCUCUCGAGGAAAAAAAUAAAAAUACUAUGACUAUGAUGUCCCUCAAGCAAUGACACUGGUGAAAAUAUCACGGGUUCAAGUCAUUACUCAUGCGAAAGACACAUUGCUUGCAAAGUACAAUAGAACAGGCUCAAGACAAUAUAAAGCGCACGACGCUCCCCUUUUAAUCUAUCUUUCUAUAUAACCCUCAAGUAACUUCUUAUUCAGCAGUAGUGUGAAUCAAAGAAUUCAUACUUUGACUAGACAAGAUCAAUGCAAGUAAAAAUCAUUUCAAAGUUUGCUCUAGGAAUAUUCAAAUUCAAAUGCUAAAAAUCUAUAGUUUUCUUAUGCAAAUAAGGUUCAUCUAUGUCUCUACUUCCUUAGCAGUAGAGCACUAGGUAUGGUAUUGGGUAUUGAAUUUGAUACAGCUACAAGGUGGAAUAAGGCACAGACGAGCCAUUAGAUCUACCAUUUUUUGAAGGACUAUUGUGUAAGAAAAGUAAUUGCCAAGGGGCAUGGUAGUCAAGAUCGCACACAAUCACAUGAAAUCCUGCAAGUCUGCGAUCUUGAUGGGUUUGGGCGUGUUUGGGCAUGGAUGGAAUUGCAAUCUGGUGGUCACGGCUGUGAUAUCCGCGCGAGAUUGAGAAAACGGUGGUAUCGUGCCACUUUGUUAAUUCCAUUUUUGGGUUUCUUAGAGUUGGAUUUGUGAAUCGGGAACCCGGCUCCUUAACACGCCUUUUGGGAUUAGAAAACCCUUAAACAAGUUUUAAACACGCCUUUUGUGGAAAGUCGGUCAAUUUCUUGUGCAUAUAAGCUCCCCCUGUCAUGUUGCAUUCUGAUUUGUUUUGGAUUGCAUGUGAACUCUCUCACCAAACUAUUGUGUUGCAACCAAGCUCCCCAUCGCACCACAAGUUUGUGAUCAAACACAAUAGCGUUGCAUUUGACAUUAUAGAAUAAAGUGGCAAUGUUUAUAGAAAUAAGAGAAGCUUGUUAUACCUCUGAACCGGUCCCAUAAAACCUUUUACUGUAGCAUCUUUUGUAUAUGGACCUUGCUUCAUUUAUGUGACCCAAUUCAACUUCCAUGGCUAUAUAACCAGUCCAUGCGGCCAGCAUUGAACCACUGCAUAAAGUAAGUCAAAAAGUAUGUAGAAUUGAAUAGGAUAAAUAACACAUAACAAAAGCAUUUAAUUAUGAAAGGAUUUAAUUGAGCAUUAUCAGACCAGGUCUUAAGAAAAUUCUCCCAAACUCCACGAGCUGCAGUUAUAUCUUUUCCAAGUUUUGUUUCUAAAUGAGCCCAAUAAGCAUGUAUUUGUAACAAACCAUCUGUAUUCUUCAUGUAUGGUGACAAGUAAUCUGAUGCACGCUGGAACAGGCAAAUAGUAAGUAUAUAGUUUUAUUGACAAAUAAUACACAAAUUUCAAAAGAAAACAUUUUACAACAGCAUACAAAUUGAUUAGUUGGUGAAAACUGAAAACCCUGUCUCUUGCAACAAGCUCAAUUUUAGUUUGUCGAAAAUAUUCAUGUCAUCAAGCCAUUAUGUGAAUUUGCUUGCUAAAUCCAAAAUUUUAGUUAAUGGUAGUACUAGCAUUGUAUUCGUCUAGCUAGCCCUAGACUAGUUUAAACAUUUCUAUCAUAUGCAUCAAGUAUGAUUCAUAUACAAGCAAGAUAUCCUUCGACCUCUGAGAAACUUGUUACAUCAGCCAACUAAUCAUUCAAGUUCACAAAGGAUGUAAAAAUCUAGCCAUGAAGAGUUUUCUCACAAAUAAAGUGGCAAUUAAUCUUUAUGUGCUUAGUUUGCUCGAAGAAGACUUUAUUGGAUGUGAUGUGUUAAGUUGCUUGAUUAUCACAAAUAAGACUCGCUGAAUUAGCUAUGAAGAACUCUAACUCAUCAAGAAGUUGUUUCAACCAAAUAUGUUCACAUGUAGUGAGAGUCGUAGCUCAAUAUUCAGUCUUUAUCAAAUUUAGCAAUACUACGUUUUUUUCCUGUUCCAAAAAGUAACAUUCCCCCAAAUAUCCAACCCAUUCUGCAUAUGAAUAUACAACAACGUUAGCAAGACCUUUGCUCUCAUAAAUUAACUCUCUUUCUUGGGAGUUGGGACACCUUUAUAUAUCCCAUGAUUCAAACCACUACAUUCCAAUGACAAUCGCAAGAAUAAAUAAAAAAUUGACUUACAACACUAAUAGAAAAGGAUAUGUUAGGUCUAAUCAUAGUAAGAUAGAUCAGCACCCUACCCAACAUUCGAUAUCUACCUGGAUCUAAAAACGACUCCCUUAUAUCUAUGUGGGAAUUUGGUUUUUCCCACUCUAUUAGGAUUAUGUAAACUAGGCAUAGAUUCUCUUAGAGUUCAUUAGGAAUCUCUAACAGAAUUGUGUUGAAUGAUUGAUCAAAUGAUAACAAGCUCUAAUUGUUUAUUUAUAGACUUCUGCACUGGACCAGCAGUAGCAGGUUGCUACUCUAAGUUGACUGGCUAGUAUCGGUCAGUUAGUUACAACUCCUCCAAUGAUCUUAGAUGAGAUAUCGAGUUUGACAGCCUCGAUAAGAAGAACAAUUAAUGACUUGCUACAAAUUUAGCUCGAUAGAGAUGCUUAAAUGUCUCUUGGGAAACUAAUCGAAGUGGGAGUACCAAGUACCAACAACUACUACAAAAGACAUAUCCCAAUAAGGCAACACGUGUGUCGGGAUAGCUAGCAAUGUAAACCAAACAACAACAACAUAUUUUGUCAUGAGGUCCAUUUGAUUUUGGUCCAUUUUAAUCGUCUCUGGGAGUUCUUCGUGGCUUCCCUUUACCUCAAACUAUUUUGUCAUGAAUCAAGAAACUUCUUGGAUUCUAUGAGUUUUCUUACAUGGCCAAAUUGCCUUAGUUGAAUAACCAGAGACAGAGUUAACACAUGAAGAACUAAGUGAGAAAUAAAAAAAAAGAUGGAGUAGAAUACCAACAAGACUAUUUUCAUUUUCAAUUCCAACUUAUCAUUACUAGAAUAUUUUUUAUGCAAAAGACAACACUAAUUUUGGUAAAGAUGUACAUGGUUUACAGGUCUCAAAAUACAUAUAACUAACCUGGAAGGUCUCCUUUAUUAUUUUAUAUUCCAAUGGAUCCUCUUCUUUGGUGAAUGUCAUUCUUCGCCUUAAGCCAUCUACCCGGGUGAGAAACAAAUCAAGAUACUGAAACAAAAAUUUAUAUUGAAGAGUUUACGAAUGCAAUAUAUUCUAGAUAUUUAUGGAAUUUUAGGGAAGCAGACAAAUUGAAUUAGAAAAGGGCAAAAUUACAAGUAUAAAGAAUGAAGCAAACAAACUAAACUAAAUAUCAGUCAUACCUCAUCUAACGUAGAAAAGGUGCAUUGCAAGGACUUCUCAAAGAUCUGAAAUCAGUAGCAAAAUUGUCUAAACAACGCAUUAAAGUAUGAAAAAUUCGUUCCACAAACAAGUCUAGUAAUUAAUAAUUUAUAUGCCAAAAGAAUUUCCUUCUUAUUCAAUUCAUUAAAAGAGUCAACCAAGAACCUUGAUCUGGGACAGGAAAUAGAAAGGUAAUAUUAGAAACAAAAUGGAAAUUGCGUGCAUGUCGAUGUUGGAAGGAGGCAACUUUGCCACUCCUUGAGAAAGCCAGAAGAGAUAACUUAAACAAUUAAACUCAAGCAUUAACAUAAUCUCGGUAAAAGACAUAGCUGCAUACAAUAGGAAAAUAUGUUUAUUGCAGACAUAUUAUCGCACUACAUACACGACACAUAUUUAAGAGGAUGGCACGGGGCAUUAUACAUAUAUGCAGGUUUGUCAUUAGCGGCCCCGAUGACAGGAUGACAUGCAUCUUCAACAUGUCAAUGCGAUGACACCAACCAUGUAUACAGAUAGCAGCUUUAUGACAACCAUCCGUACCAUUCGCCAUGAAGAUGAAAUGGUUGUUGCAUAGAACUUUCUCUCAUUACUUCCAUCAUUCCCAACAUCGAGCCAUUGGGAUUCUUAGUUUUGGACAUAAAUGUGUCCUCAGUUCUCUGUUUCAAAGUAUAAAAGCUAAUUAAAAGAAAAACACUCCUUCACAAUAUUCACUCCUAAUUCCUGACUCAAUGCACAACGCAGUCUCGUAAAGUACUAAACCGAACAAAGUUAAGGCUCUUCCUUCGUAGAGUCCGUCGACUUAAGUACUCUGUCUGAAAAUUUUCAUCUAUCUUCUUCCUCUAAUCAUUGUUCUUUCACAUUAUUUUGACAGAGAACAGACCUAUGUGCAAAAGCCACUCUAAUUAGUGGACUCUCCCCCUCAAAUUUUUUUUUUUUUAAUAUCGUGUGGACCACCGGUCCAUACAUAAAUUUAAACAAAUCUAUGUGCAAAAGCCACUCUAAUUGGUAUAAGUAAUACAAAACCAGAGAUCCCAAACAAUACAGUGGAAAGUCCCUCUCUCUAACUGCCAAGGAUUGAACAGGCCCUCUCACUUCCAGUUUCCUUCUAUGACAAAAUACAUGUGGUUAUUCUGUUAUCAUCAAAGUUGAAAACUAACCCCCUACUAACACUUCGACUCUACGUAACAUAGACUCUCUUGAUUGGGGGGUCAGCUAUCAUACUCCUUUGUAUGCAUGUACUAGAUACUAAAUAUCAAUUGCAGGCUAAAACCUAGCAAUCAUUAUGCCAUCUGUCAUAUCGGUUUAGGGGAUCGGCCAUAUGACUUGUUAAUACUGCAUGAAAGCUGUGAAGUUGACUUCAGAACAAUGCAAGCGUAAGUACAUCACAACAGCAAGAACUUGCCAGUUUAUAAUUAAAACAGAGAUGAUGCAAUUGUCUCAUCAAUAUUCAAUAGACUGUUCAAGGUAAGAGGAUUAUAUGCAUCAAAAAGAAAGAAAAAAAAUCUAUGAAGGAGAGUUGUAUCUGAAAUCUUACUGCAGCCAAGUCUUUCUCUGAAGCAUGACCGCGCUCCAAACAAAGCAUAUACCGAACCCAAAGUUCUCCGACCCAAGGGCAGUUCUUAGUGGCCCUAGAAUAUACAUCAGAAACAAUCUUACCAACCUGGAAAGAAAGAAAAGGGGGGAAUAAAUUCAGAUUAUAAUCUUGGUCUAGAAAAUGGAUAUUGAGAAUUGACAACAAUGACAGCAAGGAGGGAAAUCGAAACCUUCAAAGUUUUGUCCAAAUAGUGUGUAUAAUCAAGCCAGAGAUCAGGUGAUAAAGGAAAGUCGGUAAUAGCCCGCUCGUAUAGAACUUGAAUUCGGGCUGGUGUUCCUGAAGACUGCUCAAAUUUCAAAUAGUUCUGCAAUAAAAUUGUCUCAAUUAAAAUGAACAAUAAAUAAACAAAUUUGUGAAUUCUAUCUCCUACAAUUAAAUAGUUGUAUUUAGACUUAGAGACAUACCAUGUAUUGUUGUAGUCUUUCUGAAUCAGAAAUAUCUUGGCUAGAAAUCUGUUCUUCAAGAUGAACGCGAGCAUUAUACAUCUCCAAGGCCUUCUGGUAUGCUGAUGCAACGUGAGGAUAACGAUCAAUCAGGUCAAUGGAUACAUCAUGAAAAUUUCCCUGUUCCACCUCCCAAGUCUUAUAGGCAAUAAGUGCUGAAUUCAUGUCAGCAAGGGGGAUAGACAACUGGCGAUGGAAUAAACUUCGAAUGUGUUGAACUUGCUUUUCUUUUGCCUGCAACACAAGAACACAACUUACUUCUUCACCUGAAACAAUCUAUAUUCUAUAAUGCUGCAAAAUACUACAACAGUUAGCAUGUAACUAAACGGUUGUCUUGGGUUGCUGAGUUUUCUUUGUUCUUAAUCUCUCUUGAACAAACCAAAAUUUAACAAUAUUCACAAUAAAAUUUUCUUACACUUAACUUUGGCCGCAUUUGUGCAUUCAAGGCACUAACCAAAAUUAAACAAUGCAUUCAAUUGAAUUUUUACAUUUAGCUUGGGAUGCUUUGGAGCAUUCAAGGCACUGCCUCAGCAAUAAUAUUUUUUUAGAGCUGCAACUACCUUGCUUUGUCUUUAAUUAUAUCUGACAAGUAAUACCAUUAGUUUAUAAUUGAUAAAAAAUUCUUCGACUUUGUCUAAGACAGUAAUGCGUAGUGUAUAUAAAACAUUUGCCUAAUUAAUCAACAUUAACACUUUCUUCAGCAGAUAAUUAUGUAAUAUUUUUUUAGAGCUGCAACUACCUUGCUUUGUCUUUAAUUAUAUCCGACAAGUAAUACCAUUAGUUUAUAAUUGAUCAAAAAUUCUUCGACUUUGUCUAAGACAGUAAUGCGUAGUGUAUAUAAAACAUUUACCAAGUAAUCAACAUUAACCCUUUCUUCAGCAGAUAAUUAUGUAACCAAAGCAAUGCCUGGAACAGAAAAUAAAACCAUUGUAUUGACAUGUAUAAUUUACCUAUAGCCCAACUACUAUCGGCAAGUUUUUCAGCAUUGUCAUAAACUCAGUUGUCAGUUCCGGAUAGCGGCCUACCCCAAAAGUAGGAUAACAUGACAGUGUGUAGCAGGUGGGCUGCUAUUUAAUCAUUUUUUGGACAAAUUACAUGAAUAAUACUGUAAACAUAUAGUUGAUGUAAAAUUAAACAAAUAACUCACCAUUAACAAAAAAAAAUCAUAAUAAGCAAGAAAAAGUUACAAGUCUUCAGCAAACAUACAUUUAAAACCAACAUCAUUCCAAAAUGACUGCAUAAGUACAACAUAUCAUAUUUGUAACAAACAGCAUCAAGAUAGAUGUAUAGUAAAGUGAAGAGAAAUAUUCUUUGUAACCUGUGUAUCAGAUUCAUCAAUAGUCAGAAGUAUAGCCUGUUCAUAUUGCCUAUAUGCUUCCCAUAUCUUACUGCCUUGGGCAACAUGCAAACCAGCAGCCGUAAGGGCCCUUUCAAAGAGAUCCCUUCCCUUGGAAAUAGCAGUGGGUGAAGAUUGUUUUAGCAUUGGAUCAAAGUCUUGAACAGAUUGGAGGUAGUCACACCAUAGAGAGACAGACUGAAAUGAAGGAUAAUGCAACAGUUGAGUAAAAGAGCUACCGUUUCAAAGUGAAAAAUAGAGAAUGUAGCAAAAAAAAGUAAAAAAUAGAGUGUGAAGGCAGAACAGUGUUAACAAUAUAGAGAAUCAGAGAAUAAUAAAGGAGGCCAGCAUUUUUUAGAAAAGCAAAGCUUCGGAACACAAACAUUACUCUAAGAAUAUAUAGUGAAAUAUAAAUACACUAAACUAAACCCACUUGGGUUGGCCUAGUGGUAUUGGCUUGGAACCUGGGAAUGUGCUCCUCCUCGAGGUCUCAGCAAUUAUCUAACACCUCCCCUCAAACUCACGAUGCAUCCAAAGUUUGUCAAACAAAAAAUGAAAAACAUCUAUACCAUUAUAUAAAGGCAAUAGUACCGAUUAACUACUUUCUGGUCGAACCUUUUUCUGGACAAAAUAACUCUUAUAAACUCAAUUUUAUUUAGUUUAAAUUUAAAUAUAAAUCUACCCCAAAGUUCUAGGAAAUCUGAAAACUAGCUGCUAUCUUUUAGCAUGAGGUUUUUUUGCUACAAAUUUGCACCCUAAUAAUCUAAUCUUAUUUUCUUAUUUAAAUUUGAAAACACAUAAAUUGAAUUAAAAAAUAAAGUAAAUAUUUUAUAACAAAAUAUAUGUACAACGAAAUACAAAAAAAAAAAAAUGCAUCAAGGGAAAUAAAAAAGAGGACGAACAGGCACUCAUCUUUCCGCUACUACUCAAAACAACUAAUAUUCUAAAUCAAACAGGGUACUGCAAAAAAUGUUGUCGAGUCUAAUCCUAUUAUUUUUUAGCAAAUUAAACGCACUCUUAGCUCAAUUAUAACAAAAGGCUCAAUAACCUGGUAAUCUAAUGUGCAUCAACAGGAAAUAUAAUCAACAAUGUAAACUCAAAAAACUAAUAUUCUAACAAACAGAACAUACUUACCAGAUAAUCAAACACCGCGCAUUCAUAAAGCUUAACAACGGUAGAGAAAGUGUCAUUAUUGGCGGUGGUGAGAGAAAGCUCAUCUUUAAUCCACUGCUGCCACAAGGAAGGGGUCAAUGGAAAGAUUUCAGCCAUAACUUCCCUUGCUUUUCUCAGUUUAUCAACAUCACCGGUUUUCCGAAGUAGCGUUAUAUACUGAAAAUGAAAGGAGGAUGAAUCAAGCAGCGAAUUAGUGUAACAAUAACUUGAUUGAAUGGUAAAGAAAUGUGUUCACAAAACCUAACUCAACUGUCAAAUAUGUCGAAAUUGUUAAGCUCAGAAGCAUUAAAAGAAAAGUAAAGAAAUAAGAAUUACUUGCAAAUGAGCAUCGUAGUUGGCGGGAUUAGCGGCAAGCUCGGUCUGGAGAGAUUGAAGUUGGAUGUUCUGCUGAGCUUCAUCGUCGGAAUCGGAAUCGGAAUCGUUGGAGGAAUCAGACAUGGCUGUUGCUUCGUCUUUCUCUGGCUCUCGUUCAGCUUCUGAAGUUAGGGUUAGUGUUUGCUCCACCUCCAUUGCAGAUUACUGUACUUCUAGCUUUCAGCGCCGUCGCGUAUGGGUCGGUCCGGUUUUCAGCGGCGAUGGGAGAGAUACUAGCGAGAUUGAGUGAGAAUUGUUUCUUAUGUCAAAAUAAAAAAUAAUGUAUAAAUAAAUAAAUAAUUAAAUAUAUUUUUAAUAAUCAUUUUCUCCGUUAGAUGUUGUCGUAAGAAGAGUAGAUCGGUAACCAAAAAAAGAAGAGCAAAUCAAACGGAGGAGAGUAAGUCAGAAGAGGUAGAGAAAGACCUAGAAAAACUAUCAUAGAAAUCAUUAUAAUGGAUUUGGAGGUCAAUGAGUUGAAUCCAAAUUUAGUUUAUGAAAAUUUAGUUUAUGAUAAAACAUUAUGACAUCGUUUGAUCUAUGUAGCCGACUGCAUUUAGUGGGAUAAACUUUGAUUGUUGUUGUUGUUGUUGUGUAACGGGUAGCCCAAUCGUUAUGUAACGUAAUUUUUUUUUUUUUUUUUUUGACAAUAGUUAUGUAACGUAAUGUUGAAAGUAACUCUUUUUUAUAGAGAUCGAUAUAAGAGUAAGUAAAUACAUAUAAGAAUUGAUACGACAAUAAAUGAAUAUAUUAAAAGACUUAUAUGAUAGUAUUAUUAGAGUAUUUAAUUUCAAUGACUAUUUUGUUUAAUGAAUGCAAUCUUAGGACUGCUUUGAAAUUUUGACAUGAAUUAUUGUUUACUCGUUAUACAUUUAUGAACGAAAAUAAUUAUUUGCCUAUUUUUUAAAUGACAAGUGUUAGCUAAAAUCAAACCAAUCAAGUAUUUUCAAAUCUUCAUCACUUGAGUCUAUGGGUGACCGAAUGUAUUUAAUUUAGGUCCAAUAAAAACCAACACAUUCAAACCCAAAGUAGUUUGGUUCAUAUAACGAAUUUAUCAUUUCAACUCGGAAAUCCACAUCGUUCAAAAAAAUAGUUAAGGGAAUGUAUUGGAUUAUGAUUUAAAAAAUUUAUUUCAGCAAAAAAAAUCUUUUAAGAUUUUAAAAGACUUUGUGAGAUUAUAUUGAUUUUGUGGGAUUUUAAAAGAAUUUUUACAUUUAUAACUAUGUAGAGUGUCAUAGUCUUUUUCAUAUAAACUAGUGGGUUAAUUCGAUCAAAAGACGUUAUGUGGAUGCUGUCAAAGUACGAAGACUAAUCAUAGUCAAGACAUGAAUACCAUACAACUAAGAGGUUAUUUCUCAAUUAAGAGGUGAAAAUGGCAAAGGACUUCGACACACACACUCUGUGCAGGAUCAUCCCAACUCUUUUUGGAAGAGAAAUCAAGGUUUUAAGCCUUCGUAGAGUACUCCUCAGAUGCAGCUUACGAAGUAGAGCCUUGAAGAAACUCUUGCCCAGUUUAUUAAGAUAUCACAAGACAACUUCAAAGCUUUGACCAAGAGUCGAGAGAGCGCCGAUAUAAACAAUGAAGGUUCUAUAAAGAACUUUGAAACUCAUAUUGGACAAUUGUCUAAGCAGAUGGGCAACAUGACUAAUGGUAGUUUUGCAAGUAACACUAUAGCAAUGUCUGCUUGGGGGUUAUUUUCGUUUCAUAUUUAUGUAUGAUCUUCUUAGGAUUGAUUGUGAAAUUUGGUUUAAGCAUCAUGUUAUGCUUAAAGGCAUGACCUCUUUUUAUAGUUACUUGUUAAGAGAUUUGAAGAAAUGGAAAUAAAUAUAUUUUUUAUCAUGAUAAAAAAGGUACUUGGUUCCAUUAAUAAUAUUUUUUUUCUUAUCACUCUUACGUGGUUCGUGUUAUUGGUUACUCGGACAAACAUCUCAUCCAUAAGCAAGUUCUUUGGUAUCCCUUGCGGAAGAUUAUAUCAAAGUUAAUAUGGAUGGUUCCUCCUUCGACAACCAAAGCAAUGCAGAUUUUGACAACCUUUUAAAAAAUAAUAACUUGAUUUUUGUUUUUUUAUGGAGUAACUCAAAAUUUAAUUUAAAGAUUACAAAUAUAAUAACAAAUUAUUUUUUCAAAAUUAAGAGUAAAUUUGUAGAGUAUUUUUGACCAAAUCAAAAAGGCAAACAAAAUUGAUGUACCACUUAAUUUUUUUUUUUUUUUAAGGGUGAUUUAUAACUUAACAAAUAAGUCAAAGAAAACAGCCAAAAAAAAUAAGUCAAAGAAAGGAUGGGUAAAUAAUAUUCUUUUUUUAUUAAUUUUUGUCAAAAAAUUUAUGUCUACUACCUCUGUCCUUAAUUAUAAGACCUUUUGAGAAUCUUCUUUUCCCUUUUCAUAAGACUCUUUUGCUACUUUCAACUACAUUAAUUAUUUCUUUACAUACAUGCCCCUAUUUAUUAUACAUCUUUUUCUUCAAUCAAUAAUAAAUAAUAUGUUGAAAACAUAAAUUAAUUCUCUCUCAUAAAGGAUAAAUUUGUAAAAUAAUAAUGUUUACAAACAACUUUAAUACAAAUAUCUACUAUCUUAAUUCCCGUGAUUUUGAAAAAAAGGUCUUAUAUAUAUAUAGGGACGGAGGUAAUAUUAAUUAAGUGUAGAUUUUUAUUUUUUUUAGGAGCAGCUUAGAGAAAUUAAACGCACGAUUUUUUUUACCAAGCACAAGAAUAUUCUUGUCGGAUUUAUACCAAGUGCAUGUAACACAUUCACAACUCACAACAGCUCAUAAUACUCGUCUUUAAUUAACCCCCCGAUUAGUUUUCAUAGCCUAAGCAUGGCACACCCUUCGAUCUUCUAACUAACCCAAAUCUCACCAGAUCCAACGGCUUAAACUAAACUUGAAUUUUCACACGGAUUACAACUUCUCAUAAAUUCAAUUAGUUCUAGAAAUAAUAAAGAGAGUAACUUUUUUUUUUUUUUUUUACGCAAAAUAAGGGAGUAACAAACUUAGAAGAUGCUAUGUAAUAUUCCUUUGAAAUCAAAUAUUCUCUGUUUUUUAAAGAAAAAAACUAAAUUCCCCUGUUUUCGUUGUACCGUUUCUCAUCAUAUUUUUCCGCUAUAAAUACCUUUCUUUCUCUGUGUAUCAAAUCCAAGCCAAGAACCAAUUUUGAGAGAAACCCAUUUGUCUUCUAUUCCUUGUGAACGUGGGUCAUUGGAAUUUUUCACAUUCUUUUUCUCACCUCUCAAAGAGAAGAAAAAAUGUCUAAUAAUAUUGUGAUAGUUUUCGACUUCGAUAAAACCAUAAUUGAUUGUGAUAGUGAUAAUUGGGUUGUUGAUGAAUUAGGUUUCACCGAUUUGUUCAAUCAACUCCUUCCCACUAUGCCUUUCAAUUCUCUCAUGGUAUGUUUUUCACUCUUUUCAUAUGCUCUGUUUUUAAAAAUACUCUGUUUUUCAUUCACUCGAUAUUCUGAAUAUUAUAUUUAUAACAAAUAAUUAACUUGUGUUUUGGUUUUGGAAAUACAGGACAGAAUGAUGAUGGAGCUUCAUUCAAAUGGAAAAAGUAUCGAAGAUAUUGAAAAAGUUCUUCAAAGGAUACCAAUUAAUCACAGAAUAAUAUCUGCUAUUAAAUCAGCUUAUGCUUUGGGGUGUGAUUUGAGGAUUGUUAGCGAUGCUAAUACGAUUUUCAUUGACACAAUUUUGAAGCAUUUGGGAAUUAGUGAAUGCUUCUCUGAGAUUAACACCAAUCCUGGUUAUGUUAAUCAAGAAGGAAGAUUAAAAGUUAUGCCUUAUCAUGACUUCAACAAAGCUUCUCAUGGUUGCACUCUUUGUCCCCCAAACAUGUGCAAGGUAUAAUAUAGAAGUUAUUCUCUCUUUGUAGUAUUUAGUUUCAAAUAUAUGAUUAAAUAUACUAAAGUUUUUCUUGAAUCAUUGUUUCAGGGUUUAAUCAUUGAUAGAAUCCAAAAAUCAAUUUCUGAAGUGGAGAAGAAGAGAUUUAUCUACCUUGGUGAUGGUGCUGGGGACUAUUGCCCUAGCUUGAGGCUUAGAGAAAGAGACUUUGUGAUGCCAAGGAAGAAUUUUCCAGUGUGGGAUUUGAUAUGCAAAGAUCCUUCACUUGUUAAGGCUGAAAUUCAUGGUUGGAGUGA